rnacentral:lncRNA from 7 species
AAAGCGAGAUUACUCACAAAACCCAAGGCUUCUGCAGGUAUCGCGUUGAGCUGGUUUUUAUCCUUUGACUUACUCAUGUUUGAAUCCAAGAGUUGUUAGAAGAAACCUGCUGAAAGUGAUUGGAGGCUCCAAUCCGGAGUAUAUUUUAAAUCACUGGAGCCAAAGUCUCUUUAUGCUCAAGCAGAAAACAGUAUAAAGCAACAACCGAGUACAAAGCCUCCCUACAUCAAGCCGUCCUCAUGUGGAGAAUUGCAGCAGCCUUAAGAAUAACUGCUGAGGAAGGAGUUCUGGAUGUGAAAGCUUUGUAAACUGAAAUUCAAGCAUCAACAGCUCUGCAGUCUGCUUCUGGAAUCUUCAAGGAGAAUUAUGAAACAGUGUGCACAAAAGCCUAACUUAUUACUACCAAGAAAUGGAAAAGUUACUACUAGGUACAAAUAUAAGGGAUAAGUAAAUCAAUAUUAAAUCCAAGUUUAUUAAGUGAGUCAUGCUUCAUAGAAGCAUUUCUUCCUAUUUUUUAUUGCUGAGCAUUGCUUAGGAUCCGUCUCAAUUAAAAAUAUCACUGUUGCACAGUAAAAAAAGCCAAAGCUAUUAACUAAUAACGCAAAUGAUAACUUUUACUUCCACCACUUUCCAUUGCAAUAGUACAUUAGGUGUAGAGACAACACACUUCAGGAUUUCAGUAACUUACAUUAAAAAAAAACAAACAACAAACCAAAGAUGUAAUGAAAGUCAAUCUAAUUAUACACAAAAGGAUGAAUACCUACACCAAAGACAAUGUAACCUAUAAUCUAUGUUCUUCCAAAGGAUUUUCACUGAACACAAGCAGAUGAAAAUGAGAUCAGGUAUAAGUCUGUAUAUAUUUCAGUCUGGUAAAUACUGAGAAAUUAGAAUUUUUCUUCGAAAUAAGACUGAACUAUCACAGAAUCAUAGGAUGGCUUGAGUUGGAAAGGACCUUAAAGAUCAUCCAAUUCCAACCACCCAGGAUUAUGACUGAUUUCUUAAGAAAAUCUAAUAAUCUUUUUUCUAAAGUAAGACUGCAAAUAAGAAUCUGAUUCAGAGCUGAACAUGUGGCUCCAGAAAGAAAAGCACUGCUUCAUUUGAGAAACUACACACAGUCACCACGCUACUUUGCAAGCUGCACAGAAAGCAGAGUAUUGGUUUACUCUUAGCACAUAGAGUCCAUGAAAGCUAGAAGUUGCAUUCCUGUCUUUCAGAGGACAGAUCUGAUUCUUCUCAAUAUGAGGUUAAUUCCCACAAAUGAGACUGAUGCACUGCUUAUCUUCAUAUAAUGAUACAAGUAUUCAUCAGAUAAAUUGAUAGUAAUUUAAAUCUAAAGUAAAAAUUAUGUGUGUUAGGACAACUAAGAGUGUUAUGAGAACAAAUACAAGAGCACAGAACAGUAUAAAAAUAACUUAAAAACACAAACAGAACUAGAUCCUUUUUUGUUUUGUGAAGUAUCUCUUGGUGAAGUGAAAGAUGUGGCACAUUUUGAUUUCUGACAAUAGAGCUCAAAUGGAGUGGCAGAUUCUGAAACAUCUGUUUACUGAAAGGCAUUCUAUGUGUCAAGAUAUUACUGAAAUGUUGCAUUAUAAG